rnacentral:rRNA from 1 species
UACGUAGGGGGCUAGCGUUGUCCGGAAUCAUUGGGCGUAAAGCGCGUGUAGGCGGCCCGGUAAGUCCGCUGUGAAAGUCGGGGGCUCAACCCUCGGAUGCCGGUGGAUACUGUCGGGCUCGAGUACGGAAGAGGCGAGUGGAAUUCCUGGUGUAGCGGUGAAAUGCGCAGAUAUCAGGAGGAACACCAAUUGCGAAGGCAGCUCGCUGGGACGUUACUGACGCUGAGACGCGAAAGCGUGGGGAGCGAACGGG